UUGAGUUUUAUCCUUGGUGGCCUGUUGCCGUUCAAUCCGGGGGUUGGGGCAGAGCGCCAUGGCUGCGCCUAAGGGCGACACCAAGCAGAACGAGUUCUGUUCCGAUGGGCAGAGUGCAUCGACGGAAGCAUCCGCUAGCUGGAACUCAAGGGCGAAGGCAGCAAGACACCUAAGGUCGGGAGACCCGAUGCUGACGGCGACUCUCGCCGAUUCACAUGUCCAACGGCGAUCCAUCGCGCUGGAGAAGGGCUGCGACGGCGGCGAUUCCAGAAAUGGGGCUAGGGCUCAGUUUUGCUUACUGAAAUUUGAGGUGAAAAUUUAGAAGCGAGAAAGGAACAGAGGGAAAUCAGAGAGUUAGAGAGACACGAAUUGAAGGGAGAGGGAGGUACCGAUGGUGGCUCAGUGAGGUUGACGGCGGCGAUCCGCCGGUCCCCUCAGUGGCGCUAGCUUGCGAAGAGGGAAAUAGGCGCGGCUUCAGCUUUGCUCCCAGAAACAGAGGGACGACGCCGAACGCCGGCCUCACUAAUUUUCAGGCGCCAGAGGUGGCGCGGCGAGUUACAGACGGCACGGACGUUGGGGGCAGAAAUUAGGGCACGAAUGAAAUUAAGGAAUGAGAAAGGGAGAGGUGUGAGUCUGUUCUCGAGAAGAUAAGGCGGUGGAGAAAAGCUGGCCGUUCGCCGGAAAUUACUGGGCGACGGCAGUGAUUUUGAAGAAGUAGCUCGGGCUCGACUUGGCUCCUCGCUGAAGUUAGGAGCUAGGGCUCGAUAUUUAUCAUCUUGGAAGGGAGAUCGAUGGAGGAUUGAGAUGAACAGAGGUGAGGAGGUGCCGGAUUUCA
rnacentral:lncRNA from 1 species